GUCUUUGCUCCACGCUUGAUUAUUGAAUCCACGACCUGAGUGCAGUCACUGGUUGACACCAGAAGCAGGUUCAGGUUCAGCUCAGUCUGGACGGAAGCUGCUCUUCAUCAUCUCCGACAGAAAAACUCAACACUGUUUGGUUUUUACGCGCGGACAUUUCCAUCUUCAUCUUCAUCAAAGAAACUCUGUGUUUGUGUAAAAUCUACAGCAGCAGCUUCACGAUCUUCUUCUUCUUCUUCUUCUUCAAACCAACUUCACCGUCUGAUCCUGAAGAACCGAGUCCAGGUCCUGGACGAGACUCCGGCACCAGAACCAGAAACCGAGCCGGCUCCAUCCAUCAUCAUCUCUUCACCUCCAUUCCUCGCCUCUCCUUUCUCCGGUCCAGCUCCCGGCGCCGUAGAUAGCGGCUCCGCAGUCACGUGGGGAGAGAGAGAGAGAGCGCGAGUGAGUGAGAGAGAGAGAGAGCGAGAGAGAGAGAGAGAGAGAGAGAGAGAGAGAGAGUCCCUCCUCCUCCUCUUCCUCUUCCUCCGCAGUUUGCGGUGUGUUCAGUUUGAGACUCGGAGCAGAGUCAGAUCAGGAUCUGCGGCUCCGGUACAGAAACGCCGGUGUCUCCUCCUCCUCCUCCCCGCUCUCCUCAUCACGGCCCCGGCUCUGACUGCGUGCGGAGCCGCGGACGCUUGUGUCUCCUCCUCCUUUUUUCUCCCUUCGCCUUCUUUUCUUCUUCUUGUUUUUGUUCUUCAACAGUUUGGGAUUUGGGUUUUUCUUCUUCUUCUGCUGCUGCUGCUGCUGCUGUUGCUGCUGCUGCUGCUGCUGCUUUUACGCACAGACUCUUGGAUCUAGAGUCAGCAGCAGGAGAAUCACGCAGGAAGCCGCGCCGUGGAUCCGUGGACGCGCCUUCGCGGCUCGAGCUGGAGAUGGAGAUGCUGCUGUUUGUGAUUCAUUCUCUGUGGAUUUUUCAGUGGAACACAGUCACGGUGCGCGCGGACUCCAUCAUUCACAUCGGUGCGAUAUUUGAGGAGAACGCCGUGCGGGACGAUGAAGUUUUCCAGCUCGCUGUGUCUGACCUCAGUCUGAGUGACGACGUCCUGCAGAGCGAGAAGAUCACGCACUCUAUUAAAAUCAUCGAGCCCAACAACCCUUUCCAGGCCGUGCAGGAAGCGUGUGAGCUGAUGAAUCAGGGGAUCCUGGCCUUGGUCACGUCCACAGGCUGCGCCUCAGCGAGCGCUCUGCAGUCUCUGACCGACGCCAUGCACAUCCCUCACCUGUACAUCCAGAGGAGCGCUGAGGGCUCGCCGCGCACCGCCUGUCACUUUAAUCCUAGUCCAGGAGGUCAGCGCUACACACUGGCCGCACGACCACCGGUCAGACUCAACGACGUGAUGCUGACGCUGGUGGACGAGCUGCGCUGGCAGAAGUUCAUCAUCUUCUAUGACAUCGACUACGAUAUCCGGGGGCUGCAGACGUUCCUGGACCAGACGUCUCGUCAGGGCGUGGACGUGUCCCUGCAGAGAGUGGACAGAAACAUCAGCCGCGUCUUCACUAACCUGUUCACCAGCAUGAGGACGGAGGAGCUGAACCGAUACAGAGACACUCUGAGGAGAGCUGUCCUCCUGCUGAGUCCCCACGCUGCUCACACCUUCAUCCUACAGGCGGUGGAAACAAACCUGGCGUCCAAAGACAGUCACUGGGUUUUUGUGAAUGAGGAGAUCAGUGACACAGAGAUCCUGGAGCUUACCCACAGUGCACUGGGGCGUAUGACGGUGAUCCGGCAGAUCUUCCCGGUGUGGAGAGACAGCAGCAGCCGCUGUGUGAGACACAAUCACCGCAUCUCGUCUCUGCUGUGUGACCCACAGGAGGGUUAUCUGCACAACCUGGAGGUGUCCAGUCUGUACCUGUACGACAGCGUGCUGAUGUUGGCCAACGCCUUCUACAGGAAGUUAGAGGACAGGAAGUGGCACAGUAUGGCGAGUCUCAACUGCAUCAGGAAGUCGACCAAGCCCUGGAACGGAGGCUGGUCCAUGCUGGAGACCAUCCAGAAGGGGAACAUCACAGGUCUCACAGGGAUCAUGGACUUUAAGGACAGCGGCUCUAACUCUCAUGUCCAGUUUGAGAUCUUAGGCUCCAGCUUCAGUGAGACGUUUGGCAAAGACAUCAAGAGGCUGGCGACCUGGGACUCGGUUCAUGGACUGAACGGCAGUCUGAAGGAGAGUCGGAUAGAGAACGGGAUGCAGGGAGUGACUGUGAAGGUGGUCACUUUACUGGAGGAUCCGUUCGUCAUGGUGGCUGAAAACAUCCUCGGUCAACCAAAGAGAUACAAAGGUUUCUCCAUCGACGUCCUGGAUGCUCUCGCCAAGGUCCUGGGCUUCAAAUACGAGAUCUACCAGGUCAGUGACAGUAAAUAUGGAUCUCAGCUUCCCAACGGUUCGUGGAAUGGAAUGAUCGGUGACCUCAUCAGUAAGAGGGCGGACCUGGCCGUGUCGGCCAUCACCAUCACACCAGAGCGUGAGAACGUGGUGGACUUCAGCAAACGUUACCUGGACUACAGCGUCGGGAUCCUGCUGAGGAAACCUGAAGAGAAGAUCAACAUCUUCUCCUUGUUCGCGCCCUUUGACCUCGCCGUGUGGGCGUGUAUCGCCGCCGCCAUCCUGGUGGUGGGCGUGCUCAUCUUCCUGCUCAACAGACUGCAGGCGCUGCGCUCGUCCAGCGCUCAGAACACAGUGAGCGGCCAGAGCGGCGGCGGCGUGGGCUCAGGCUCGCUCCACAGCGCCAUCUGGAUCGUCUACGGAGCCUUUGUUCAACAAGGUGGGGACAGUGUGGUCAGUUCUCUGGCUCUCAGGAUCGUCAUGGGCAGCUGGUGGCUCUUCACGCUCAUCGUGUGUUCGUCGUACACGGCUAAUCUGGCAGCUUACCUCACUGUGUCACGCAUGGACCACGCUAUAUGGACAUUCCAGGACUUGGCGCGGCAGAUUAACGUGGACUACGGGACGGUGCGAGACUCGGCCGUCUACGACUACUUCAGGAACAAAGGCACCAACCCUCUGGAACAGGACUCCACCUACGCUGAGCUGUGGAGAACCAUCAGCAAGAACCACGGACUGGACUACUGUGUGUCCAGUCCUUCAGAGGGAAUACGCAAGGCUAAGAAGAGUGCAUAUGCGUUCCUGUGGGAUAUGUCAGUGUUAGAAUACGCUGCUCUGACAGACGACGACUGCACCAUCACUGUGUCAGGAAACAGCAUGAGCAGCAAAGGCUACGGCAUCGCCAUGCAACAUGGAAGUCCUUAUAGAGACCUGUUCUCCCAGAGGAUCCUGGAGCUCCAGGAUAAAGGAGACCUGGACAUCAUGAAGCAGAAGUGGUGGCCUCGCACCGGUCGCUGUAAUCUCAACACUCAUGCCGGCUCCAGUCCCGACGGCCGCUCCCUGCGCCUGCACAGCUUCGCGGGUGUCUUCUGCAUCCUGGCCACCGGGCUGCUGCUGGCGUGCCUGGUGGCGGCACUGGAGGCGUGGUGGAGCAGCAACCGCUGCCGGCAGGAGCAGCCCAAAGAGGUCACUAAGGAUUUCAGACUGGCCAGGGUUUAUAAUGACAUAACAGCUGCUUCAUCGGAGGGGAGGAGGGACAUGUGGACAGACAGAGAGAGAGGCUGGGAUGAAGCAGAGGCUAUUGAUACAGGACAAGGAGGUGAACCUGGAGCAGGUGCACCGCCGUAUGAACAGUCUUUUGGACGAGGACUUGGCGCACAAGCAGAUCCCCGGUCCGUCUAUCGAGAUCUCUGCGCUGGACAUCGGCAGCAUGCAGCCCAGCCAGGCCUCGCUGGCGUCAGGGGCGGAGUCUGUGCGGAACUACCACCACCCGCCCUCGGGCCUCGCUGUGACCACCUUCCUCCCCGGGGAGGGGGCGCCGCCUCCUCCUCUUCCCCUACCUCACCAUGGGGGGACCCUCAGCAGGACGCUGGCCCCGCCCCCGGGCGUUGGCAGCAGCACGCUGCCGCUGCACCACCCUCUCAGCGGCACCAUGCAGUGCAAACACCGGGCCCCCAACGGGGGAAUGUUCCGCCAGAGUCCUGGCAAGACGCCCAUGCCAAUGUCCUACCAGGGAGUCUCCGCAGGACCCAGACCAGAAGCCAUUGACCCCGCCCACAGUACGUCCAUAUAGUGCUACAGGCAGGGGGCGGGGCUUAAGUGGGACAGGACAUGGUCGAACUGCGUCACCGGUAACUUGGUGUCUGGACUUUGGUUCUGGAUGUGAAUCAGUUCUGAGUGGAAAAAUAUUAUAGACGACAAAAAAACAACAACAAAAAAAAAACGUACAAAGGAAUGUCGGCGAUUCUUUCCCAUUGACUGUUCGAAAAAACUAAUCGACGAAAACUUGUCUUUUGUUCGUAAAGUGCGAUUACUGAGCGUCCUGAGGAAUUUGGACUUUUUAGUUUGUGUUUGUCAAAGUGUCUGAAGAUCCUCCUGAACCUGAAGACCCUCCCGAACCUGAAGACCCUCCCGAACCUGAAGACCCUCCCGGACCUGAAGACCCUCCCGAACCUGAAAACCCUCCCGAACCUGAAGAUCCUCCCGGACCUGAAGACCCUCCCGAACCUGAAGAUCCCCCUGAACCUUCACUCACAUCAUCGAUCACUGACGAUCACAAAGUUAAUCAAAACUUUAACAAAGUUCACAAACAUUUGUUUGAUCUUCAUACAUAUCUCCAGACGUAGAUGGACAAUGAUGGACCAUAGUGUACCAUGAUGGACCAUGAUGGACCAUAGUGUACCAUGAUGGACCAUGAUGGACCAUGAUGGACCAUAGUGUACCAUGAUGGACCAUGAUGGACCUGAAUGUAAACUGAAUGUCCUUUUAAAUUAAGAAAUCCACAAAAAUAAUCCCUUCUUCUGUCAAACGGGAUUAAAAUAAAUGAAACAUCUGACUUUGUUCCUUUUUUUUUGACAAAACCAGCCCUGAACCAGUUCUUGAUCUGGUUCUGUCCUCGGUGCUCAACAUGAACCCACAGGUUUUUCUUCUCAUGAGGAAAACAACGUCGUGUUUUUAACGUUUAUGUUUGAAAGCUGAUUAGAGUUAGAAGCAGGGAAUUCUGGGUAACAUGAGGACAUAUGGAGUUCUGGGUUCUGUAGAACAAGACCUGGUCGCUGGUGGUGGUUUUGGUCCAGAUCAGAUUAUUUAAGAUUAAAAAAACAGAUUAUUUUUAUUUUCCUGUUUUCUUGUUGUUGUUGUUGUUUCAUUAAAUCUAAACAAUAAAGUUUUAAACUGUCUCAAAAAGAAAAAGGUUCAUAAAAUAAAAAAAUGAAGUAUGUGAUCACAUGACGUUCAACUCACCGCGUGUCCAACAGAGGACGAGGACGAGGACGCUUCUCUCUUCAGAACAGACUGUUUUUGCUCUCGUGAACUUGUUUUCUCACGUUUCCACGACAACGCGACGGACAGCUAACGAUGCUAAACUCCAGCUAACGUCAGAAAACACCAAGUGUCAAAGCGUAAAGUCUGUCUCUGUCCAUUUAAGGGAAAACCUUAUUUUAUUUAUGAAUAUGCUGCUUGGAGUUUCUUAAUCUUUAAUAAAGAAUAUGAUUUACA